UAAUCAUAAAUUUUACAUUUUCAAGAUUACAGAUUAAAAUUGUAGUUUUCAUUAUAGUAUUUAAUCCUGAAAGGCUUUGAAUUAUUUUACAGUAUGAAGUGACAAAAAUGCAUCAUGUGCAUUAGGCUAGCAAAGUUGUCUUAAUGAGGUUUUUGUAUUAUCAACAGCUUUCUCUUGCUGAAAAGGAAAUGUUUCUACUUUGAGCCUCAACACUGAAAUCUCAUCAACACAUUCAAACGCAAAUGAUACAAUUUCCUUGUGUUCCACUGCCCACUGGAGAGAUCCUAUAAAAUAGAUGGCUCCAAUCAAAAGAACCACAAAUAGAUUGACCAACAUACAUGUUCUGCUACCUUCAUUUGUUAAUAAUUUUUUCAGCAAUAAUAUUGCUUAAUAUUAUUUGCUAAUUAUUAAAAUCAUGCUUUUUAAAACUGAUUAGAGUUAUUAAAAUCAAAAUUCAAAUCGGCUACUCUUCAGACCCAUGUAUGGGAUUAAUUUAUGGGUUAACAAAACAUGUUGAGGGUUUUUAGACCUGUUAUAUAUCCUAUAUUGCCAAGUUAUAAACUCUUCACUGGAUAACACUGGACACCUUGCCCUUAACAAUUAAUUAAAAUGGUGUAGUUCAACAAGUGGUACAUUUCUAAAGUCACAAAAGAGUUUGUCCUCUAUAAACCUUUAACAACUGUACAUAUUAAACUUGUAAUCUAUGGCACAAUAAGAAGAAAUGAAUUAAAACUUGAAGUAUUCAUGCAUAAAUCACAACAGUAUACAGUUUUUAUCACCAUGUAUAAUGCACCUUUGAUAACUUUCGUAAUCUCUAGAGUACCUUUUUUUUGUCUUCUACUUUAUUCAUUUUCUCUUGGAUUGAAAAAUGCUUUUUCAAAUACCAUCUCCCCCCCCCCACUUUUCCUUUGAAAUACAUGAUCACUAUACUGUAGUCAUCAUAUGUGUCAUUAUCAACUAUAUUUUCACAUUUUAUAUAUAUUUAUAAUUUUUUUUAUUUGAUUGUUUUUUCUUUGCAUGUUUUUGCUAAUAUGGAUCAAAUAAUGCAGUGUGAACAGCUGUAUUCAACAAAGCUUUUUGUGAGUAAGCUUCUUGUGGCAGUUUAAGGAUAUAUUUGAAUCAAGACUGCCAUGUUUUGGGAAAUGAGACAUGCUUGUAUUUAUAGGAUGGGAUUAUAUUAUAAUGUAAAUAAACUAUUAAAAUAUCAA